CUAGAAUUCUGGGAACAGACAACAACAGGCUGGGAAAUCCUCCGGGAAAUAGAGAACAGGCAGUGUGCAGGGCUUACCCCUGGUGAGAACAGCAGCAGUCAUGAAAACGAGAGGAGCCGAUCUGUCUCGCAGGGUUGCUGAGAAGAUUAUUUGAAAAACAACAGCCUCGUGAAUGAUGAGUUGGAGAAUGGAAACCUACGACAACCUGAGCUGGUGCUCCUACAGUAACCAGAGCGAGGAUGAUGAGGACGAGGACAGGGAGGGGCAGAGCCGCCGUCACCACCUCCACUUGGCCAAGGCGCGGUCCCGGAGCUCCAGCCGCUCCCGCCGACGAUCCUCUUUCCUGGUGGACGAGCUGGACAUGCUGAUGGACCAGGCGGCCA